rnacentral:rRNA from 1 species
AGUGAACGCUGGCGGUAGGCCUAACACAUGCAAGUCGAACGGCAGCACAGUAAGAGCUUGCUCUUACGGGUGGCGAGUGGCGGACGGGUGAGGAAUACAUCGGAAUCUACUUUUUCGUGGGGGAUAACGUAGGGAAACUUACGCUAAUACCGCAUACGACCUACGGGUGAAAGCAGAGGAGCUUCGGACCUUGCGCGAUUGAAUUAGCCGAUGUCGGAUUAGCUAGUUGGCGGGGUAAAGGCCCACCAAGGCGACGAUCCGUAGCUGGUCUGAGAGGAUGAUCAGCCACACUGGAACUGAGACACGGUCCAGACUCCUACGGGAGGCAGCAGUGGGGAAUAUUGGACAAUGGGCGCAAGCCUGAUCCAGCCAUACCGCGUGGGUGAAGAAGGCCUUCGGGUUGUAAAGCCCUUUUGUUGGGAAAGAAAAGCAGCAGGUUAAUACCCCGCUGUUCUGACGGUACCCAAAGAAUAAGCACCGGCUAACUUCGUG